rnacentral:rRNA from 1 species
GUCCAGACUCCUACGGGAGGCAGCAGUGGGGAAUAUUGCACAAUGGGGGAAACCCUGAUGCAGCGACGCCGCGUGAGUGAAGAAGUAUUUCGGUAUGUAAAGCUCUAUCAGCAGGGAAGAAAAUGACGGUACCUGACUAAGAAGCCCCGGCUAACUACGUGCCAGCAGCCGCGGUAAUACGUAGGGGGCAAGCGUUAUCCGGAUUUACUGGGUGUAAAGGGAGCGUAGACGGCAUGGCAAGUCAGAUGUGAAAGCCCGGGGCUCAACCCCGGGACUGCAUUUGAAACUGUCAGGCUGGAGUGCAGGAGAGGUAAGUGGAAUUCCUAGUGUAGCGGUGAAAUGCGUAGAUAUUAGGAGGAACACCAGUGGCGAAGGCGGCUUACUGGACUGUAACUGACGUUGAGGCUCGAAAGCGUGGGGAGCAAACAGGAUUAGAUACCCCUGUAACA